rnacentral:piRNA from 1 species
UCCAAGGAUUCAGCCAACCAGAAGU